AUGAGAACUAGAGCAUUUCUGAACCUGCAGGGAGAAGGAGCCACAAUCCCACACUGUCCAGAACUUCAUUGGCUCAACACCCAACAUCAGCAGCCACAUCCAGACAGAAACUCACUGCCCAGAAGUCUCAGGAUCCAUGCUGUGCAGUCUCCUUCCUUAGACCAGGUUGAUAUAACCCACCUCUGCUGUAAAAAUCCACCAGGAUGGCACAUCCAUCUAGCUGUUUGUGGGACAGGCGACUCUACACACUUCUACUGUUGAAAUAAAGACAGGAAAGAAAGGCA
rnacentral:lncRNA from 1 species